AGCCGAAUUAAAGGGAACGGGUGUCGGAAGCAGAAGGGCCGAACUUCAUGACUUCUAGAAGGGGAGGGGAAUGAAAGGCUCUCAGUGAAGAAGGCAUACCUUUUUGUAUUGCAUUUCGCUUUAUUGCACUUCGCAGAUACUGCGUUUUUUACAAAUUGAAGUAAAGAUGCUAUUAAGAUUGUUGAAAUGACAACAAAGGAUUUAGAAUAUUAAGUAAACAUAGUUGAUAAAGCAGCAGCACUGUUUAAAAGGAUUGGCUCCAGUUCUGAAAGAAGUUCUGUGGGUAAAAUGCCAUCAAACAGCAUUGCAUACUACAAAGAAACCCCUCACAAGAGGAAGAGUCAACUGAUGCAGCAAACUUCAUUAUUGUCUUAUUUUAAGAAAUUGCCACAGCCACCCCAACCUUCCACAGUCACAACCCUGAUCAGUC